UUGGAUUCUUUCAAGGAUAAUUUAGCUGAGAUAGUUUUCAACUGAGCCAUGAGUUGUUCAUAAGGGAAUUCAUCAUUGAUGGGUACUGACUCAGGCUCAAUGCCCUCUAUCCUAGAUAGGUGAUCGACUACUACAUUUUCACAUCUAGCAAUAUUAAUUUAGCUAGACAUAACUAAAACUAAAGACAUAAAAAUAAAAUAAAC
rnacentral:lncRNA from 1 species